AUGGCUUUCCACCAAAGAUCAACAAGUUUGCCUUCUAGGCCUCACGUCAGUGAGACCGAAGUUGAGCAAGAGGUCCACAGCCUAGAAGCAAGCAUCUCUUCCUCCAAUUCCAUCAGCACGAUGCGCGAUGGUCUCAGGACUCUUGCAAGCAUCUACGAUGGUCUUGACGAGAUCAUUUGCCUACCAAGCCACCAAGUUUGCUUCUCCCAGCAGAGGAGGAUGUUGGAUGGAGAGAUGGAAUGCUCCGUUGAGCUGUUAGAUCUAUGCAACAACAUGCAAGAGACCUUCGCCGAGAUGAUGGUCAUCAUCCAAGAGCUGCAGGUGACUCUAAGAAAAGGCGAUGAUGCAGCUGCUCAAGCCAAGAUCCAGUCUUUUACUCGCUUGGCGAAGAAGGCCAGGAAACAUUUCAAGAAGACUGCCAAGAAGCCUGCAUCCGACAAGAUGGUCAUGCUAUUGACCAAGGCAAGAGAGAUCUGCAUCUCUCUGUUGGAGUCCACACUCCAUCUCUUGUCGAAGCAAAUUGAAAUGCCAAAGCAGUCCCUUGUCUGCAAGGCAUUUUACAAGAAGAAGGCCGUUGUUUGCAAGGAGGAGCAAUUGCAGGAGUUAGAGUGCAGCAUCCAAGAUCUUCAGAAUGGAGCAGGAAAUCUGUUCAGGAAAUUAGUCCAGAACAGAGUUUCUCUUUUAAACAUUCUUAGCUCAUAA
rnacentral:rRNA from 1 species